rnacentral:rRNA from 1 species
UACGCAGGGCGCAAGCGUUGUCCGGAAUUAUUGGGCGGAAAGAGCUCGUAGGCGGUCUGUCGCGUCGGAUGUGAAAGCCCGGGGCUUAACCCCGGGUCUGCAUUCGAUACGGGCAGACUAGAGUGUGGUAGGGGAGAUCGGAAUUCCUGGUGUAGCGGUGAAAUGCGCAGAUAUCAGGAGGAACACCGGUGGCGAAGGCGGGAUCCUGGGCCAGUACUGACGCUGAGGAGCGAAAGCGUGGGGAGCAAACAGG